rnacentral:rRNA from 1 species
GGGUUGUGAGGUUAAGCGACUAAGCGUACACGGUGGAUGCCCUGGCAGUCAGAGGCGAUGAAGGACGUGCUAAUCUGCGAUAAGCGUCGGUAAGGUGAUAUGAACCGUUAUAACCGGCGAUUUCCGAAUGGGGAAACCCAGUGUGUUUCGACACACUAUCAUUAACUGAAUCCAUAGGUUAAUGAGGCGAACCGGGGGAACUGAAACAUCUAAGUACCCCGAGGAAAAGAAAUCAACCGAGAUUCCCCCAGUAGCGGCGAGCGAACGGGGAGGAGCCCAGAGCCUGAAUCAGUGUGUGUGUUAGUGGAAGCGUCUGGAAAGGCGCGCGAUACAGGGUGACAGCCCCGUACACAAAAAUGCACAUACUGUGAGCUCGAUGAGUAGGGCGGGACACGUGGUAUCCUGUCUGAAUAUGGGGGGACCAUCCUCCAAGGCUAAAUACUCCUGACUGACCGAUAGUGAACCAGUACCGUGAGGGAAAGGCGAAAAGAACCCCGGCGAGGGGAGUGAAAAAGAACCUGAAACCGUGUACGUACAAGCAGUGGGAGCCUCUUUUAUGGGGUGACUGCGUACCUUUUGUAUAAUGGGUCAGCGACUUAUAUUCUGUAGCAAGGUUAACCGAAUAGGGGAGCCGAAGGGAAACCGAGUCUUAACUGGGCGUUAAGUUGCAGGGUAUAGACCCGAAACCCGGUGAUCUAGCCAUGGGCAGGUUGAAGGUUGGGUAACACUAACUGGAGGACCGAACCGACUAAUGUUGAAAAAUUAGCGGAUGACUUGUGGCUGGGGGUGAAAGGCCAAUCAAACCGGGAGAUAGCUGGUUCUCCCCGAAAGCUAUUUAGGUAGCGCCUCGUGAAUUCAUCUCCGGGGGUAGAGCACUGUUUCGGCAAGGGGGUCAUCCCGACUUACCAACCCGAUGCAAACUGCGAAUACCGGAGAAUGUUAUCACGGGAGACACACGGCGGGUGCUAACGUCCGUCGUGAAGAGGGAAACAACCCAGACCGCCAGCUAAGGUCCCAAAGUCAUGGUUAAGUGGGAAACGAUGUGGGAAGGCCCAGACAGCCAGGAUGUUGGCUUAGAAGCAGCCAUCAUUUAAAGAAAGCGUAAUAGCUCACUGGUCGAGUCGGCCUGCGCGGAAGAUGUAACGGGGCUAAACCAUGCACCGAAGCUGCGGCAGCGACACUGUGUGUUGUUGGGUAGGGGAGCGUUCUGUAAGCCUGUGAAGGUGUACUGUGAGGUAUGCUGGAGGUAUCAGAAGUGCGAAUGCUGACAUAAGUAACGAUAAAGCGGGUGAAAAGCCCGCUCGCCGGAAGACCAAGGGUUCCUGUCCAACGUUAAUCGGGGCAGGGUGAGUCGACCCCUAAGGCGAGGCCGAAAGGCGUAGUCGAUGGGAAACAGGUUAAUAUUCCUGUACUUGGUGUUACUGCGAAGGGGGGACGGAGAAGGCUAUGUUGGCCGGGCGACGGUUGUCCCGGUUUAAGCGUGUAGGCUGGUUUUCCAGGCAAAUCCGGAAAAUCAAGGCUGAGGCGUGAUGACGAGGCACUACGGUGCUGAAGCAACAAAUGCCCUGCUUCCAGGAAAAGCCUCUAAGCAUCAGGUAACAUCAAAUCGUACCCCAAACCGACACAGGUGGUCAGGUAGAGAAUACCAAGGCGCUUGAGAGAACUCGGGUGAAGGAACUAGGCAAAAUGGUGCCGUAACUUCGGGAGAAGGCACGCUGAUAUGUAGGUGAAGUCCCUCGCGGAUGGAGCUGAAAUCAGUCGAAGAUACCAGCUGGCUGCAACUGUUUAUUAAAAACACAGCACUGUGCAAACACGAAAGUGGACGUAUACGGUGUGACGCCUGCCCGGUGCCGGAAGGUUAAUUGAUGGGGUUAGCGCAAGCGAAGCUCUUGAUCGAAGCCCCGGUAAACGGCGGCCGUAACUAUAACGGUCCUAAGGUAGCGAAAUUCCUUGUCGGGUAAGUUCCGACCUGCACGAAUGGCGUAAUGAUGGCCAGGCUGUCUCCACCCGAGACUCAGUGAAAUUGAACUCGCUGUGAAGAUGCAGUGUACCCGCGGCAAGACGGAAAGACCCCGUGAACCUUUACUAUAGCUUGACACUGAACAUUGAGCCUUGAUGUGUAGGAUAGGUGGGAGGCUUUGAAGUGUGGACGCCAGUCUGCAUGGAGCCGACCUUGAAAUACCACCCUUUAAUGUUUGAUGUUCUAACGUGGACCCGUAAUCCGGGUUGCGGACAGUGUCUGGUGGGUAGUUUGACUGGGGCGGUCUCCUCCUAAAGAGUAACGGAGGAGCACGAAGGUUGGCUAAUCCUGGUCGGACAUCAGGAGGUUAGUGCAAUGGCAUAAGCCAGCUUGACUGCGAGCGUGACGGCGCGAGCAGGUGCGAAAGCAGGUCAUAGUGAUCCGGUGGUUCUGAAUGGAAGGGCCAUCGCUCAACGGAUAAAAGGUACUCCGGGGAUAACAGGCUGAUACCGCCCAAGAGUUCAUAUCGACGGCGGUGUUUGGCACCUCGAUGUCGGCUCAUCACAUCCUGGGGCUGAAGUAGGUCCCAAGGGUAUGGCUGUUCGCCAUUUAAAGUGGUACGCGAGCUGGGUUUAGAACGUCGUGAGACAGUUCGGUCCCUAUCUGCCGUGGGCGCUGGAGAACUGAGGGGGGCUGCUCCUAGUACGAGAGGACCGGAGUGGACGCAUCACUGGUGUUCGGGUUGUCAUGCCAAUGGCACUGCCCGGUAGCUAAAUGCGGAAGAGAUAAGUGCUGAAAGCAUCUAAGCACGAAACUUGCCCCGAGAUGAGUUCUCCCUGAC